ACACUCCUGCGGGAGGCAGCAGUAGGGAAUCUUCCACAAUGGGUGCAAACCUGAUGGAGCAAUGCCGCGUGAGUGAAGAAGGUCUUCGGAUCGUAAAGCUCUGUUGUUAGAGAAGAACACGUGCUAGGUAACUACUAGCGCCUUGACGGUAUCUAACCAGAAAGUCACGGUUAACUACGUGCCAGCAGCCGCGGUAAUACGUAGGUGACAAGCGUUGUCCGGAUUUAUUGGGCGUAAAGGGAGCGCAGGCGGUCUGUUUAGUCUAAUGUGAAAGCCCACGGCUUAACCGUGGAACGGCAUUGGAAACUGACAGACUUGAAUGUAGAAGAGGAAAAUGGAAUUCCAAGUGUAGCGGUGGAAUGCGUAGAUAUUUGGAGGAACACCAGUGGCGAAGGCGAUUUUCUGGUCUAACAUUGACGCUGAGGCUCGAAAGCGUGGGGAGCGAACAGGAUUAGAAACCCCUGUAGUCCCAUG
rnacentral:rRNA from 1 species